ACGCUCGACACCUACGGGAGGCAGCAGUGGGGAAUAUUGCACAAUGGGGGAAACCCGUGAUGCAGCGACGCCGCGUGAGUGAAGAAGUAAUUCGUUAUGUAAAGCUCUAUCAGCAGGGAAGAAAGUGACGGUACCUGAGUAAGAAGCCCCGGCUAACUACGUGUCAGCAGCCGCGGUAAUCUGAGGCGGGCUGGCAAGGC
rnacentral:rRNA from 1 species